rnacentral:rRNA from 1 species
UACGUAGGUGGCAAGCGUUGUCCGGAAUUAUUGGGCGUAAAGGAUGCGUAGGCGGUCUUUUAUGUGGGAUGUGAAAUACCUAGGCUUAACUUAGGAAUGGCAUUCCAAACUGGAAGACUUGAGUGCAGGAGGGGAAAGUGGAAUUCCUAGUGUAGCGGUGAAAUGCGUAGAGAUUAGGAGGAACACCAGUGGCGAAGGUGACUUUCUGGACUGUAACUGACGCUGAGGCUCGAAAGCGUGGGGAGCAAAC